ACAUUGCUAAACCACGUGGCUGGUCUUCCAGAGCUAGAGAAACAUUGUGCAGUCAGUUUUGAAGCUCCGAACGCUCGAGCCAAGUGGCAAACUAUUGUCUGUAUUGGUGGAGGCUAAAGACAUGUGUCCAUGGACAGGGACUACUAAGAAACCUUCACCAAGAACAAGAAUAAACAAUAAUUAUCAUCUCUCACGUGAAACAGAAAAGAAAAAAUUGUGCAGUUAGUUUUGAAGCUCUGAGCAUGCAAGUGGUCAAACUAUUUGUCUGUAUUGGUGGAGGCUGAAGACAUGGGUCCAUGGACAGGGACUACUGAGGAACCUUCAUCUCCCCCCCCCCCCGUUACCCUGACUGCACUGUUGCCUGGAAACACAUCAGGAGUGACAGUAUCCUCGACUCCCUUCACACUUUUACUAGGGCUCGGACUCAGACCCAUGGCAAUCGGAGCUUGUACAAGUAACCAUUGUUCUCCUUGACUUUGUUUCACAAUUUUAGCUAAACUUGAAUCUGUACUGGUAGUGGUCAUUUCAAAUGGUGCGGGGAAGCUAUGACUAGUGUCCAAUUCAGUUUCUAUUUUUACCAGAGUGGCAGAAAGGUCUUGCACAACCUCUUCUUCCUCUUCCUCAGGCACAGUUGGUACUUUUCUAGUUGGCUUUAUGACCACUUGUACAUGUACAGUACGUGUUAAUUAUGACUUGGGCCCUAUUAAACUUGGCCUUGUGUAUGAUAUACAAGUAACAUAAGUUUUUUAUAUGUUUCGUUUUGUAGUACAUUGUGUAUACCGCAGUUGAUGUAAUCACAGCGCCACUCUAAUUAUACGAAAUUCGAAAUUGUUGACCAUAAUUAUUAUACCAUCAUAUAAAUUCAUUUGUGUUAUGUACAUAGUCUCGCAAAAAUAAUUUUUCCCUGGCGUUGUAUUUACACCAAUUACGGUAACACACACACACGCUUGUCGUGUCCACCCACUCACAUAGGAUCUCCACACGCUAACGGGCGAUGGUGGUUUGCCCUCUGACAUGACCUCUGAGGAUGGUUCUACCCUCAACGCUAUAGGCCACGCCCUCAUCCAGAUGCAGCAAAGUGGACAGACCACCCCCUGAUCUCAGUUCCUCAUCACUAGGAGCACCUCUUCUGGUUCAGAGUCUGGCCAAAAUGGUCCUCUGUGUGUGAUGAUCCCACCAUCUAGUAGUGCUGAGAUACUGCAUGCAAUGGGUCGACCUAUAGCACCCAAGAUGAGCGGGAUAUCAACUAUGGAUUAUCACACGGCCGACCCCAUCGUUCAAAUGCAGUUGUCUGGGGAUAUGGCUGCCAACAGGGAAGCUCAGAGGAAGGCUACAUACAAUGAAGGUGUACGUGUGUGAGGUCAAGGUUCAUUCAUUUGCCAAUUGGCUCAGCUUCAUUGUACAUGCCCUAAACACGAUAAUUACCAGUUGUAGUUGUUCUUCCCACGCCCAGUUGAGCGUCGGCGUCGGGACAGGAUCAACGAGUUCAUCAAGGUACUGGCUCAGAUAGUGCCUGCUUGUCAGAAGAUAGACGCAACUACUGGUUCCAUUGUCAGGUAUGUGUACAGCAAGGGAACGGUACUGGACAAGACAGUGGACUACUUGAAAGAGCUCGUGUUUCAAAACAAACAACUCACAGCCAGUGCCAAAAUCGCAGAGAAAUCAACCAAUGCUUUAGCAAUGAAUCAAAACCAGAUCCAAGUCCUAGAGAAAGAGAACGCAUUUCUUCGAGCACAGAUUAUCCAGUUUAGAAUCGAUGCAGCUGCCUCCUCUGGUCAGAAACAACCUAACCAGCAACUUCUAAACUCUCCUCUGGCCCAGAGUCUCCUCAACACAGUAGUGACCCACUCACCACGACCACUUCUGUCUCCCCUCCACAACAGUCCACACAACAAACUAACAAUGUAGCAGCACAGCAACUACUACUAUCCCUGGCACAGAACCUCACCAACAGUCCUCACUGGCACAAAACCAAACACCAAGUUCUAUCUCAUCCCUACAACAACUCGGUGGCAUUGUCUCCAGCCUGGCACCUUUGCAACACAACCUAUAUGCACUUGUCAGCUUCGUCACAAUUCUCUCCUCUCUUACAAUCAUCGCUGCCGACUGGAGCCUCUAAUCCAAACACACCACUCUUAAGCUCACUCGUACAAACUCUAUCCUCCAUUGCGAGUACGACCACUUCUCUCCGUCCACUCCUGUUACCGAAAUCCUCCAACCUGUCACAAGCCAACAACAAUGGUGGUGGUGGGUGGUGGUGAUGGUGGUGGUCUCUCUGCCGUGGCUGCUGCUAGUCUGCUCAACACUCUGAUUCUAGCUCAGAAUGUGCUCACAAGCAACUCAAGUGCUGGUAGCCCCGUGCAAUGUCUAUGGAAACGGUGGACCAAUCCUCUCAACAGUAGUGUACAGUAUAUUAUAAUUAUGAACUGUUUAUGCUGUUCUAGUUUUAACGUUUGUUUUUUAGUAAUCUCUCCUUCACUUAUACUAUAGCUACAUUGUCAGUAUUAUUAUUUUUAUACAUGUUAUUUGUGUCUUAAUAAUUGAGCUCUCAAAAAAUGUUUAUGUACAUAGCUACGCCCAUUAAUAAUAAGACCACGCCAUUAUAAGUGCAGCCUACCUCGAUUCAGAUCUCAACCUGGACUGCUUAGUACAGUUGCCAACCCUAAGACUUGGCAUUGAGAGGAACCUCCUUCAUCAUGCAAGAACAAGAACACUGACUCAGGACGAUGGGGACUUUGACAAGUUAGAUUGUUCAACCACAUGAUGCACAGAAAAAAGAAUUUGUACAUGCAGUCACUUUUGUGUCUGUAUUUGGUGGAGGCUUUGUGUUGUGAUCCACACACUGUAAAAACAAACGUGUUACCGUAACACACGUGUAGCGUGUCACAUGUGUGCUAAAUUGCUCUACGUAUGUCAAAUCAGCACAUUAGUAAGUGCAUGCGUGCUAUUUUAGCCCACUGGUACCACUUUAACCCAUGUGUAUUGUGUUACACAUGUGCUAAUUGACCCAACGUGUGUUAUAUAAGCACAGUAGUAAAUUUCAUGUGUGCUAUUUCAGCACUGGUAUUACAGCAAUAGAAUGUGGUAUAUUACGGUUUAUAAUCAAGUGUAGUGAUAAUUGUAGUGAUAUUUGAGCCAUUUCUGAGAGUGAGUAGCAUCACUAACUUGAUUAGUAAAUGAUUAUGGCAUGUGAGCACUGAUCUAAGUCAACAUAAGAAAGUUUGGAUCAUGUCUAAUUAUAGAUAUCUUGCUGACAGGUGGUACAGUCUUUAUCCUUCAUAAAAGAGCAAGAGAAGACCAUUGAGUUCUCAUUUAUAAAGUAUUUAGUUUGUUGGCUGUUUUAAAUCUUUUUUAGCUUUUCUAUAUAAAGCCCAGUGCAGAAGUUGCUACGCGCAUGCGCAGUUUCUAGUUGCUAUAGCUCCUUCGCAGCUGGAUUCUAGAACAAAAGCAGAAGAGUCAAAAGCAGUCUAAAGGAUACCACCAAGGACCAAGAGUUGUUUAAAAGCUGAAAGAGCUGAAAGAGGAUGGUGUCAAAGCAAGUGCUGAAGCUUGUAGCCUAUACUACUAAGAUACUACUAGGAGACUACACUAUAGAGUGUCUAAAAUAAGGAGGGACCAGGAGUUAUUCAUAUCAAAACAUUUUGUCAAAUGAAUGUAAAAAAUAUGUAAAAGUUGUCAUCAAACAUUUAAUCUACAAGUAUACAAAUGCAGUAAAAAGUGAGACAAAAACACACAAUUUGUACUUCAAACACUAAAAAAGAAGGAAUUUUACCUAGAAAUAAUUUUAGUUUGCUCUCUAUUGUAUAAUUUAGCUAUUACUCUUUCCAAUGAUACCUCACAUGCAGUUUCUACAUGAGCUGCAUACAGUGUUUUUCAGGUUUGAAAUAUAACAGUGAUGACAGUUUUACCAUUGAAUUGCAGUGACUGGAAAGGGACUGUCCCAUACUUUACAUCAUAAAUUUUUGUGGGAAGGGUAUUUACCUUUAGUUCGGUGCUAGGCAGCACAAGCAAUUCCUAAGGAUUCAUAUGAAUGUGGGUUGCCUAGUUUCCUGUUAGUGUUAAGCAGCGUUAAUUUUGCAUAAGUGCAUGUAAGUAGAGCUAGCUAAAGUUUAUUGUGCCAGCUAGACUACUGUAUACCUACUGAGGAUGACAGAACAGCCCAAGUAACAGCCAAGGUAUACUACUGUAACAUAGAGCUGAUGUCAAGUUUCCAAGACAAGCAAGGCAAAGCAAAGACAGUGCCCAGGAACUGAAGAAAGCCCCUGAGAAACUCUCUCCUGGUGGGAUUUACCGACACUGACAAUCCAUCAAGAGAUAGUUAACAUACAUAUAUUGGAUAUGAUGAUGGGUUAGAGUAAUUAUGAAUGGAGAGAAUAGCUGGUAGACUUGAUGGACUGGAUGAAAGUUCGAACAGUGACACUGAUAACUGAUUACAGACUUAGUUUAUUCUCUUUUCAUUGUAUUUUGAGUUAGGAACCAAGAUUGAAGUAUAAUCUGGUCUGCAGAAGAAAGGUACAGAUGCUAACUUGAAUCUGUGCUACCUUGUUUGCUAAUUACACUGCAGUACUUUUAUUAUUUAUUAUUUAUUAUGAAGAGGAAAUGACAAAUAUGACAAGUUAUGACACGAAACGUCACAAAUAUUGAGUGGGCGGUUACAAUUUUAAUUUGACAUUUCCCAUUGCAAUGUUUUGAUAUGUUAAAAGCUGAAAGAGGAUUGUUUCACGACCAGACUCGACUAGAGUAAAGCAAGUGUUUUUCUAGGCAUUGACGGAAAAAGGCUAUGGUUAUUUGUGGAUAUGAUGACUUUGACGAGCUGUAUAUAGUUCCAACCCAGUGGACAGGCUUCAGCACCUUGUUCAUGUUCACACCCAACUGUACUUCGGCACUCAACUUGAUAUGGCAUGGCUCCAUCCUGAAAUUUCAUCACCGAAGACGAUUGCCAAGAAGGCCGUACCUGCCUCUGUUGUAGCUUCUAACACUUUAUAACGAAGAAGCAGACAAUGGUACUUAUAAUUUGCUGCAACAAUACUCUGUACUCAUGCAGGACAUACUUUAUGUUCCUGUACAUUUUCAAUCACUUUUUUUGCUGUUUCAUCGAAUGUACGUAUAAUUUAAUUGCACCUCCAUUUAUCUUUUCACAGUCACAUGCUAACAACGUCACUAUUAAUAAUUUAUUGCAUGCUACAUACGUGCUGGUUUAACACAAAAAUCAAUGACACGGGUGCUGUUUUAACAUUGAUAUCAAGUAACACGUAUGUAUAGUGUGCUAUUUUAGGAGACAUUCGAACGACACGCUACCACGGGUUAAAAUAACACGUUUGUUU